AUUGAACGCUGGCGGCAUGCUUUACACAUGCAAGUCGAACGGCAGCGCGGGCUUCGGCCUGGCGGCGAGUGGCGAACGGGUGAGUAAUGCAUCGGAACGUGCCCAGUCGUGGGGGAUAGCCCGGCGAAAGCCGGAUUAAUACCGCAUACGACCUGAGGGUGAAAGCGGGGGACCGAAAGGCCUCGCGCUAUUGGAGCUGCCGAUGUCGGAUUAGCUAGUUGGUGGGGUAAAGGCUUACCAAGGCGACGAUCCGUAGCUGGUCUGAGAGGACGACCAGCCACACUGGGACUGAGACACGGCCCAGACUCCUACGGGAGGCAGCAGUGGGGAAUUUUGGACAAUGGGGGCAACCCUGAUCCAGCCAUGCCGCGUGCGGGAAGAAGGCCUUCGGGUUGUAAACCGCUUUUGUUCGGGAAGAAAUCCUCUGGGCUAAUACCCCGGGGGGAUGACGGUACCGGAAGAAUAAGCACCGGCUAACUACGUG
rnacentral:rRNA from 1 species